UUUAGCCUACGGGGGGCAGCAGUGGGGAAUAUUGCACAAUGGGGGAAACCCUGAUGCAGCGACGCCGCGUGAAGGAAGAAGUAUUUCGGUAUGUAAACUUCUAUCAGCAGGGAAGAAAAUGACGGUACCUGACUAAGAAGCCCCGGCUAACUACGUGCCAGCAGCCGCGGUAAUACGUAGGGGGCAAGCGUUAUCCGGAUUUACUGGGUGUAAAGGGAGCGUAGGCGGCGAUGCAAGUCUGGAGUGAAACGCAUGAGCUCAACUCAUGCAUGGCUUUGGAAACUGGAGGACUGGAGAGCAGGAGA
rnacentral:rRNA from 1 species